UUUCAAUUAGAUAGAAGAAACUAAAAAUGUUAAUUAGCAAUGCAUGUCCUAUGUGAUAAGCGUGGUUUUCAUUUCAUGAAAUGUGUUAUAUACACUUUCUUUGCAGAUCAGUUCUCAUCAGAUGAUAGGAACCUACUACAAGGGCAAUACCGCUGUUGACAAAGACUAGAGCUUGGAGAUCUCUCUGCUUUGCUAGUUCUCACCUACCAAACCAGAGGUGACCCACCAGCCUCACUCUUGGACACCAGCCCCCCCCCACACAUCAUUAUAAUGGUUACAGAGCACCAUAUACUGUUCCAUUGUUAACCUGCUCCGUCCUCACUGUAUUCAAGUGGCUACUGUUAUCCUUACUUUACAGAUGGGAAAUGGACACAGGUUAAGCCAUUCAGACUAAGUUACAUGGCCCGCUGUGAAUUGGGGCCAGAGCUCAGACCUGCCACGCUGACUCUGAGAACACCCUGCAUGGACCAGACGGCGAAGGAAGCACCCAGAGGGCAAGCAUUUUGUCUGUGGGCUGCUGCGCCUCUAGUUCCUAGAUGGACGACAGCGCUUAAGAACCCCAGAAAGACGUGCUAUUGGGUGAGCAAGAGUCUGGAGUAAAGAGGAAAACACCCAGCAGACAGGAGGAAAUGGAGACACAGCGAAUAAAUUCAGAUGUUUUAUUCUGGAAAGCACAUGUGCACAGAGUUUCAACACAGAAAAUUAACCUGGGAGUAAAUGCCGGAACAGAUCGGCUACCGACCAUCAUGCAGCAAGGUGAGUGACACGGACCCGCUGGCCCUCGGAACCCCACAGUGCCUGCAGGAGGGUGAAAAACCAGGAGGCUGAACACCUACACACUGCCCAAGAGAACGCAACAGAAGUGGCAGGUUCCUAAUGACGAGAAAAACUUACAAAUAGAAUCAAAACUGAUUCAAGUCAUACAGUGAAAGGACAAAAGGAAAAGGGAAAGAGAUCAAUAUGAUCUGAAACAACUGUUUUAAUAGUAAGUUGCUGACCUUUUGUUGGACUCCAGUCCAAGACGCCUGAGGACGGGCCAGUGCUUCUGCACAGGGUCGCCCCUGGAGGGGAGACAGGCCCUGUCUACGACCCUCUGCUCAUCCUGAGGGCCCCGCCCGCCCAGUGAGCGACACGGAGGACAGGGCCUGGUCUGUCAGCGCCCGGAUAGUAACGGGUCCUCUGGACUUGCUGAGGGUCGGCGGAUCCAGCACCCCUGGCAUCCCCAGCCUUCCUCUGUACAUCGGACUGGGCUUCUGUAAGAUCUGAGAUCACCUGCGAGGGGAGAAUGCUGGGUUUCAAAGAGUGUGUCCUGGCCUCGCGACAAGUCAUACUGUCCAGGCAUUUUUGGCACUUUCUUUCCUUGUGCCUAACAGAGUCCCUCCUCCCCUGCCAGCAGAUGCCAGCCAGUCCCUGUAAUUAACACAAGGGUCAGUAACAUUAGCAACAAGCUGGACCCAACGAACCAGUGAAACUGACUUUUUUCACCUGUCUUCCUUUUAUAUUACUCUGCCAGUUAAUAAUCUAUUCCUGUAACUCUACUUCCUUGGGAUUUUAUUAAUUCAGUAGCAGCUUCAUCUAAAAUCUGUUGGUCUUAAUGAUACUGAUGUUUCUAAAGGCCAAGCAAAUGGCUCUUUCUCAAUCUUGUCUCGUAAGAGUCUCAAAGUCUCUAAAGAGAAAACUAAAUUAACUGAUUAGCUAUGCAUCAGGUAAGCAACUCAUAUCAUUAAAAAAAAAAACCGGAUAGACAAGUCUGAUUACUGUGCUUGAAAUGUACUAAAAGAAAAAAAAAAAAAGUAUUAACAUA